UCAGAAUGAGUCAAAACAGCUGAUAAAAUCAUCACCGUUAUGCACAACUGUUUGGACUCUCAUCCUGACGUCACCCAUUCACUGAAGAGGAGCCACUGAUGUGAUGCUACAUCUCUCCAGAUCUGAAGAAACCAAUUCAUCCACAUCUUUGAAGGCCUUAGAAUGAAGAGUGAGUACAUUUUCAUUUUUGGGUGAACUAUUCCUUUAAUGUUUGUUUUAAAUC